UUCCCCCUUUAUUAGCUUUAAUAAUAAAGUCAUUAAUCAUUUCUUUCAUUACAUUCUAUAAUUCCAGAGUGAAGCUUAUAAACUAUGCAUUAAUAUCAUAGUAUCAGUGCAAGUUUCAUAUCAUGUUUCAUGUAUGAUAUGGGAUUAGUAGAAUUUUUAAUAGAUAGCCACCACAACCCUUUAUAUUGUAUAGGCUCCACACUAUACUGCAGUCCUUGACUUUUUCUUCGCACACCGCCC
rnacentral:lncRNA from 1 species